rnacentral:rRNA from 1 species
UACGUAGGAGGCGAACGUUAUUCGGAUUUACUGGGCGUAAAGCGGGCGUAGACGGCUUCUUAAGUCGGGUGUGAAAUCUCCUGACUCAAUUAGGAGAGGUCAUUCGAUACUAAGAGGCUGGAGGACGGUAGAGGAAAGCGGAACUCCCGGUGUAGCGGUGAUAUGCGUAGAUAUCGGGAGGAACACCAGUGGCGAAGGCGGCUUUCUAGGCCGUUCCUGACGUUGAGGCCCAAAAGCGUGGGGAGCGAAACGG